UGAGCCGGGAAGCAGUGUCCUUUCUGCCUCUAGACUGCGGACCUCAGGCCACCCACCUAGGCACGAGCUAUGGACAACGGAAAGUGGACAAAAUAAGUUCCAAACUGCAGCAGCUGUCCUAGGCAUUUUUCCUGCUCACCCCCAUCCGAGCUCCACAUUCACCUUUCCUUCUACCCAGUUUCCCAGGCUUCCUAGCUCUGUACCUACAUUUACGAGUUAUCCACUCUGCUUUUCCCUCCUGUUGUUUUUUUAAAAACACCUUUAUUGAGGUAUAAUUUACAGGCCACAAAAUUCACUCAUUUUUAAUAUACAUUGCAAUGGUUUUUAGUAAAUUUACUGUGUGUGCCACUAUCACCACAAUCCAGUUUUAGGACAUUUCAUCACCCCACUAAGACCUUUUCUGUCCAUUUACAAUUAAUCCCCACUCCCAUCCCCAACCCCAGGCAACCACUAAUCAAUCUACUCUCUGUCUCUAUAGAGUGGCCUUUUCUGGACAAUGGAAUCAUAUACCCCUCUAGUUUUGACAUUGCCUCUUAUCUCCAAUGAGAAAUGCCAGAUUGAACUUCAGCUCUGUGGAAACUGACCAGCUAGACAUAGGUUCACAAAACUGAAUGAACAUCAGAAUCGGCCUGUGAUGGGGAAUGCUGCUACACACAGACAGUAAAGAUGACACCCAGUCCUAGAUGUGUUUGCUGAGCACUGAGGACGCUCCCACAAAGUAAGGACGUUGCAGAAUCUCCUGAGAACCCAGAGAGGGCUCAGGCAAGGCUGGAGCUGAGAAAGCAAAUGCAGAGCCUCCACCCCUGCCCAUUUUCCUGCCACGGGCCCCAACGCCAUGUUUCCAGGACUCACUCAUGACCUUCUGUACUGACAGCCCCACAGGGGAAGCUGAAGCCAGACUAUAACCCAGAGAGUCUGUUCAGCUGAUCUCCAAGGAGCGGCAAACCGUCUUCUCCAUACACAGCUAGGCUCGCGUUUUAAAGUCCAAAACCCAAAACCAGGUUACCAACGUGAUGUCACUGAAUUGAUGCUGAUGAACAUGGAGCUGGAGAAGAGAUGCCACAAUCAGCUCCUGGAAGCUGAUUUUCUAGAGCACGUAUCACCGCCUUGCAUAGCAAGGUACUUAUCCCCAAGUAGUGUGUAUUAUCUGCCUCCUCCCCACCAAGCCCCCAGGGACUUUUGUCAGUUGUGUUCUUGACGUCCUGUAAGAACGAUGCCUAGCACAGAGUAGGCUGUCAAUACCUCGUUAAAUGAAUGAACGAAUUUCCUAAUGAGGGUGAUAUAGUGCAGAUAUGCUAAUAUUGAUUGACUAGGAGAAUGUUCAGGCCGAGAGCUGUGGUCAGAGGGCUUUAUGAGGUUGAAUAGCAGCUCCUUGUUUUGAAGCUCUAUACUUAACUUAAAGAGCAUUAUUUCAGACUGUUAUUAUUAUGGGUUUGAAUAAAAAGCAUAAUGUGCAUUGAAAACUAACAAAGGAAUUUAUAGGUGUGCACUCAUUAAAAAGAGAGAGACAGAAUUAUUGAUAGUUUUAGGAAUUCUUUGCUGUCACUCUUCUUUAAAUAAUCUGCCCUAGAGACUUUCUUUUAUUCAGUGAAUGUGUCAGUGUGACACAUUCUUCACAUCCUGAUCCAGGGCCUUGAACAUCUGGAUUUUUCUCCUCUUGCAAAUGUAUGCCCUCUUAAAAUUUAGAAAUUCCGUUUACAUUGAAGCUUCAAAUAAAACUUUUUUCUUAAUAUA